rnacentral:rRNA from 1 species
UACGAAGGGGGCUAGCGUUGUUCGGAAUUACUGGGCGUAAAGCGCACGUAGGCGGCUUUGUAAGUUAGAGGUGAAAGCCUGGAGCUUAACUCCAGAACUGCCUUUAAGACUGCAUCGCUUGAAUCCAGGAGAGGUGAGUGGAAUUCCGAGUGUAGAGGUGAAAUUCGUAGAUAUUCGGAAGAACACCAGUGGCGAAGGCGGCUCACUGGACUGGUAUUGACGCUGAGGUGCGAAAGCGUGGGGAGCAAACAGG